AAGUGAGGUGAUUAAGACUGCUUCCAACAAUAAAAAAAUGAUAUUACCCACAACUGAAUAUUCUCAAAUUAUUUUUAAUUCAAACAUGUCUAAAAAAAUAAUUUCAAUUUCGAAAACAGUAACGAUUUGUUAGACAUAGAAAAAUAAAUUAAUCAGGGAAAUAAAUUAAUAUUCUUUCAAAUAGAUUUAUGACAGUAAAAGAUAAACUAAAAACCCAACUUUUUUUUUGUUGGUUUUACUUCGUUCUUAAGGGUAUUUGGAUUGCGUACUUCUGGUAUGCUCGAUUUUUUUCCUGUUUAUUAACUUUCUAAUAUCACAUGAUAUGAUUUAUUUGCGUUAGGAGGACGUAUUUUCUAACCUCAAAUUUCUUCAUGUCCAACGGCUGUGUUAGUUUAGUUAGACCAUAAUACUUCAGCCAGUUCAAUGGAGUUCAAUAGAGCUAAAACUUUCAGGGGGUAAUGGAACAAAAAACUAAUAUAGAUAAAAUAAACUUCGCACAUUGUGCAGCUACACCUGUUGUAACCAAAACCUCGACAUGACCUUUAACAUGAAAUAUUAACGUCAAAACUCUGCCACUUUAGCAAAUUGAAUCAAAUCCAGUUUUUAAAGGAAGACUUGGAUAUUCGCACCGUAGAGCAUGCAUCCGUCGAGCGCCUCCAUUGCCAGCUGCACGGCAUUGAAACAGUUAAUUCCAAAGUGAACGAAGGUGGAAUUCCUCAUCUUUUUCACACGCCGGAUUGACCUCUAAACCCUCCCUAAUCUUGUAUCCUGUAAAAUCCUGCGUAAAGUUACUCACAUGAAGCACCUUUCCCUAAACGUAAGAAACGACACGUCACCAGCAGCUGGGUCACCAGCAGUUGGGCUAAGGCUAUACCAUUAACCUGAGCCAGUUGGUAAUUAGUCUGCUACUACAGAAAGUAUUCAGACUUCUGGCUUGACAGUUGUGGGCAUUCGCCAUUCGCUAAUAUCUGCCAGCUCAAGAUGACGCUUUGUCUGUCGGACCCGACGUUUAUUCUCGCAAGCCAUUUAAUUUCGUCCGUCGAGGCCAACAUCGGUAAC